GGGGUGGAGCCACGGCACGGGCCGGUGAGGGGAGCACAUGUGUAUGGAACAAUUAAUAUGUGCCAGGCACAUUAGCAGCUGCUAGAUGUACAACAUGAACAGGACAGAGCCCUUCCCCGGAAGGAAAGUGGAACAGAUGGGAGAUUAAACAUGCAAAUUGCAAUAGAGUGAUAAGCCUCGCCCAGGAGAAGAUGGGAAUGCUGCAGGUAGCGCCUAACGCAGAGUGGCGGCACCAGCUUGCAUUCCCACCCACAGUGUAGGAGGGUUCCCCUUUCUCCAGGAGAUGACAUUUGAGCAGCGACCUGGACAGUGAGAAAGAGCCAAGGACAGAGCAAGGCGUGGAAAGCUGCCGAGAGUGAACUCAGUGUGUUCAAAGACCUGCGAGGAGGCAGGUGAACAGCAACAAAAGCUGGAGGGAUGCACCCGGAGGAGGCGGAGAAGGCGGCUCCAGGCUUGGCCAGCCUGUCGGUCCAACUCCUAUCCUGAGACUUGCAGCCGCCAGCUGCUUUUCCCUUCUCUAGGGCGAAAUGUCACGGAGGCGGGGAGGACUUUGGGGGAGACUUUUGGAAAACAGUUGCACCACUUUAAGAGGUGGGUAUAUUUCACCCAUUGCCUACAGAAGGCACUGAGCCGGGGGAGAAUGAAGGGGGGCUUCGCUCCCUCCUUCCAGAUCAUGCCUCUCUUUAUGUAUUCCUGUGGCUUACCUUACCCCCAGCCCAGCUCUGCCUUCGCUGGGUGUCCUGUGGCCCCACCACCUCUCCUAGCUCAGCACUGGGCUUGCAGUGGGGCUCUCGUAUCAGCCCUAAUUCUCGGGUCCUUACUCUGAUCCAAAUUAAGGCCAGCCUCCUUUUGUGUGAACGGCUGUCAUAGUGUAAGCAGAGUCCCUUUCUCCUCCCAUCCAGUGCCCUGGCCGGUGGUCCCUGGGCUCCUGCUUCCCAAGGCUUCCCAAGGGGCUGCUGGAGGGGCGGGGGGCUUCCUCAGCAGCACAGCUAGUAACACGAAUCAGUUAGGAUUGUAUUUCGUCUGGAGUUUACGA